UGGGGAAUAUUGGACAAUGGGCGAAAGCCUGAUCCAGCCAUGCCGCGUGUGUGAAGAAGGUCUUCGGAUUGUAAAGCACUUUAAGUUGGGAGGAAGGGCAGUAAGCGAAUACCUUGCUGUUUUGACGUUACCGACAGAAUAAGCACCGGCUAACUCUGUGCCAGCAGCCGCGGUAAUACAGAGGGUGCAAGCGUUAAUCGGAAUUACUGGGCGUAAAGCGCGCGUAGGUGGUUCGUUAAGUUGAAUGUGAAAGCCCCGGGCUCAACCUGGGAACUGCAUCCACAACUGGCGAGCUAGAGUAGGGCAGAGGGUGGUGGAAUUUCCUGUGUAGCGGUGAAAUGCGUAGAUAUAGGAAGGAACACCAGUGGCGAAGGCGACCACCUGGGCUCAUACUGACACUGAGGUGCGAAAGCGUGGGGAGCAAACAGG
rnacentral:rRNA from 1 species